rnacentral:rRNA from 1 species
GACGAACGCUGGCGGCGUGCUUAACACAUGCAAGUCGAACGGUGAAGGGAUCAGCUUGCUGGUUCUGGAUGAGUGGCGAACGGGUGAGUAACACGUGAGUAACCUGCCCCCUUCUUCUGGAUAACCGCAUGAAAGUGUGGCUAAUACGGGAUAUUCUGGGUCUGUCGCAUGAUGGGUCUGGGAACGAUAUUGUUUCGGUGGGGGAUGGGCUCGCGGCCUAUCAGCUUGUUGGUGGGGUGAUGGCCUACCAAGGCGGUGACGGGUAGCCGGACUGAGAGGGGGGACGGUCACACUGGGACUGAGACACGGCGCAGACUCCUACGGGAGGCAGCAGUGGGGAAUAUUGCACAAUGGGCGCAAGCCUGAUGCAGCGACGCCGCGUGAGGGAUGGAGGCCUUCGGGUUGUAAACCUUUUUCGCCAGUGAAGCAGGCCUGCUCCGUGUGGGUGGGUUGACGGUAGCUGGAUAAGAAGCGCCGGCUAACUACGUG